GGGCCCUUGGCACAGUUGGUAGCGCGCCCGCUUCGCAUUGUUUGGUGACUGCGUGAGGUCGUGGGUUCAAUUCCCACAGUGUCCA